ACGGGUGAGUAAUACAUCGGAACGUGCCCGAUCGUGGGGGAUAACGAAGCGAAAGCUUUGCUAAUACCGCAUAAGACCUAAGGAUGAAAGCAGGGGACCGCAAGGCCUUGCGCGAACGGAGCGGCCGAUGGCAGAUUAGGUAGUUGGUGGGAUAAAAGCUUACCAAGCCGACGAUCUGUAGCUGGUCUGAGAGGACGACCAGCCACACUGGGACUGAGACACGGCCCAGACUCCUACGGGAGGCAGCAGUGGGGAAUUUUGGACAAUGGGCGAAAGCCUGAUCCAGCCAUGCCGCGUGCAGGAUGAAGGCCUUCGGGUUGUAAACUGCUUUUGUACGGAACGAAAAGACUCUGGUUAAUACCUGGGGUCCAUGACGGUACCGUAAGAAUAAGCACCGGCUAACUACGUGCCAGCAGCCGCGGUAAUACGUAGGGUGCAAGCGUUAAUCGGAAUUACUGGGCGUAAAGCGUGCGCAGGCGGUUAUGUAAGACAGAUGUGAAAUCCCCGGGCUCAACCUGGGAACUGCAUUUGUGACUGCAUAGCUAGAGUACGGCAGAGGGGGAUGGAAUUCCGCGUGUAGCAGUGAAAU
rnacentral:rRNA from 1 species